AAAACGGAGAGUUUGAUCCUGGCUCAGGAUGAACGCUGGCGGUAUGCUUAACACAUGCAAGUCGAACGGGGUGCUUAGGCAUCUAGUGGCGGACGGGUGAGUAACGCGUGAGAAUCUGGCUCCAGGUCGGGGAUAACAGUUGGAAACGACUGCUAAUACCGGAUGUGCCGAGAGGUGAAAGAUUUAUUGCCUGGAGAUGAGCUCGCGUCUGAUUAGCUAGUUGGUGGUGUAAGGGACCA
rnacentral:rRNA from 1 species